CACUAAGGUUUUGUUCAGUAAAAGUUACAGAAAGUGCAGGCAUGGUCUGAUAGUCCCUUGUUCUCUGGAUUGGUUAUGUUCAUCAUUUUUUAUCUGAUUUUUUUGAGCUGGUAAUAAGAAGAUUUACCAAGCAGUUGUUGCUGGCAGUAGAAUAUCUACACAAACAAGGAAUCAUACAUGGGGAUAUUAAGGGAGCAAAUAUCCUUGUUGGUAAUAAAGGGCGCAUUAAACUAGCAGAUUUUGGUACAUCCAGACAGGCAGCCGUUUCAGGUGCAAAGCCUACAAGGGGUACACCAUACUGGAUGGCUCCUGAAGUCAUUUGUGGGACUGGUCAGGACUUAUAUAUGGAGCCUUGGAUGCACUGUGAUUGAGAUGGCCACUGGAAAUCCUCCUAGGAACCAACCGUUUGAGACAGUAAUCAUUUGACAUACUGAUAGCUUCAUAUUAAUAUAAAGUUCUCUGUCACAAUUGUUGCACUAACGAUAUGUUCCUUUAGGCUGCUUUCUUUUAUUGUGUAGGGACAAGCAAGUCACAUCCACCAAUCCCUGAGCAUCUUUCUUCUGCAGCUAAAGAUUUUCUGAACGAAUGUCUGAAAAAGGAACCAACUGCAAGGCCAUCCGCAUGUGAGUUGCUUAAGCAUCCUUUCUUAACUGAGAAAGAAGUGGAUUCUCAGGAUCUUUCUCAUUCUGCUGUCAUGGAAGAAGAAGUGGCAUCCUCACUUUGCCAAACAAAUUCUGAUGAAACUGCAAGCAUGUGGACGACGAUGCAAACUCUGAUUUUUUAUCCCAUCCAGCUAGUGGUGGAACUGGAAGAGUGAUUGUGGAGGGAGCCAUUAAACAAGUUUUUUCAAAGUUUUUAAAACUCUUUAAGAGGUCGAGAGGAACUACAAGAAAUACAUCAGAUAAGUUCAGCUAUGCAUCUAUCAUGGUGGCCACAGAAUAAGCUCGGCGAAGGGGCAUUUGGAAAUGUUUAUAAGGGAAAAAUGGUGACUGGACAAGAAGUAGCUGUAAAAAGUCUUUCAAGUACUUCAAAACAAGGAGAUUCGGAGUUGAAGAAUGAGCUGAUCUUGCGUGAAUUCCAACAUCGAAACAUUAUUCAGAUGUUAGGAUUAUGUAUUCAUGGUAUCGAAAGAGUUCUAAUAUACGAGUACAUGGUGAAAGGAAGUUUAUACAAUCAUUUAUUUGGUUCAUCCAGUGACUUGCUACUAAAUUGGAGUAAGCGCUUCAACAUAAUUGAAGGAAUCGCUCAAGGAUUGGCUUACUUGCACAAAUACUCCCGAACGAGAGUAAUUCAUAGAGAUAUAAAAGCUGACUUGCAGGGAAUUGUCAUAUAUAUAGCAAAUGAUCUUUGGGAUGAUUAGCAUGCAUGUUGCUGCAUGUUCUCCCUGCAAGUUCUCCUCCAAUACUCCCCCUCAAGCUGGAUUGAGGGAGUCUCUUGAUCCAAGCUUGGCAAGCAGAUAAUUAAAUUGGGCUGUAGACAGAAUUUUUGUGAAAAUAUAUGUCAAUUGAUCACAAGAUCGAAUGUACGCAGUUU